rnacentral:rRNA from 1 species
CACGCUGUAAACUAUGGAUACUUGGUGUUGGAGGUAUUGACCCCUUCAGUGCCGAAGCUAACGCGUUAAGUAUCCCGCCUGGGGAGUACGGCCGCAAGGUUAAAACUCAAAGAAAUUGACGGGGGCCCGCACAAGCGGUGGAGCAUGUGGUUUAAUUCGAUGCAACGCGAAAAACCUUACCUGGGCUCGAAAUGUAGUGGAAGACACCUGGAGACAGGGUCGCCUUCGGGCCGCUAUAUAGGUGC